rnacentral:rRNA from 1 species
GACGAACCGUGCGAACGUUUAUUCGGAAUCACUGGGCUUAAAGGGCGCGUAGGCGGGUCUUCAAGUCCGGGGUGAAAUCCCACGGCCCAACCGUGGAAGUGCCUUGGAUACUGAGGACCUCGAGGGGGAUAGGGGCGUGCGGAACUCAGGGUGGAGCGGUGAAAUGCGUAGAUAUCCUGAGGAACACCGGUGGCGAAGGCGACUACCUGGCCUGUUCUUGACGCUGAGGCGCGAAAGCUAGGGGAGCAAACGGGG